rnacentral:rRNA from 1 species
CCGGACCGGCACGACGGGUGAAGUAACCACGUACUACCCUAACCUCGGUCCCGUACUUACCUUCGUUACGGAACACGUCCUUCCGAAAAGGAAGAUUAAUACAAGAUGGCAUCAUGAGUCCGCAUGUUCACAUGAUUAAAGGUAUUCCGGUAGACGAUGGGGAUGCGUUCCAUUAGAUAGUAGGCGGGGUAACGGCCCACCUAGUCUUCGAUGGAUAGGGGUUCUGAGAGGAAGGUCCCCCACAUUGGAACUGAGACACGGUCCAAACUCCUACGGAAGGCAGCAG